rnacentral:rRNA from 1 species
UACGUAGGGGGCAAGCGUUGUCCGGAAUCAUUGGGCGUAAAGAGCGUGUAGGCGGUCCGUUAAGUCGGCUGUGAAAGUCCAAGGCUCAACCUUGGGAUGCCGGUCGAUACUGCCGGACUAGAGUUCGGAAGAGGCGAGUGGAAUUCCCGGUGUAGCGGUGAAAUGCGCAGAUAUCAGGAGGAACACCGGUGGCGAAGGCGGCUAUCUGGACAGAGUCUGACGCUGAGGCGCGAAAGCUAGGGGAGCAAACAGG